GUCAGCUGCAGCUCUCCCCGCUGUAGUAUUCGGUAUAUUAGCAGCAUUGCACCCGGCUCCUCCCCUGCCGGAGGCAGCGCUGCUAAUAUACAUUACAUGAACAUCAGGCAGCGCUGCGCUGGACAGUCUGUCCGUAGUCUGUGUGCUCUGGGUGCUGGAAGUCUCUCUCUCUCCCCCCCCCCGUAUGCUCUGCUCCGCCCCCCUUCUCCUGCUCUCCCUGCAGUGCACAGUACACAACUUCCAGGUACUAGAGAUGAGACGGCUGCAACUCCAUACAUCAAGUGUAGUAUCUCCCUCUCCCUCCCCUCGUGCAGGAAGGCUGCUGCUCCAUACUACAAGUAAAGUCCUCACCCUCCCCUCAUGCAGACUAUAAUGCAAGUGCUACAUAUAUAGAAGUGCAGUGUAGCCAUGGUGAGGGAUUUUGUCACUAGUCAGCACCGGCAUGUGACCGGCGUGAUGACGUCAUUCAAUGGGCGCCUGCGGCCAGGUGUUUGGUCCCGCCCCGGGAAGGCCGCUGUUGAUCACUGGAGGUCUUCUAUAUUUAAGCGCUUUACAGUGAACAGCGGCGUCUAGGUUGCUAUGGCAACCGACGGGCGCAGCAGCAGUGAGAUCAUCGCAUAGCGACCGGAAGUACAGCGGGAUCUCCGCGUCUCCGGUCACGCACUGAGCACUGGCGGGCUUCUCCUGGAUAAAAGACACCGGAUGCAGCGAUCCAGUCUGAAUUUCAUAACAAAUGGCGCGUCAUGGCUUUACGGUAGAUUAGAAGCCUUCUGCAAGCGUUAAUGGACCGCUAUCGCUACCGCAACUUCAAUCUGAAAGGACCACCACCCAGAAAAGGCAUCCAUCCCAUCGUAAAGCUUGAUGAAGAAGAUGACUGGGUCCCAAGGGUGCAGCUGGGAGAUUCCUGCAGCGUGUUCCGCAACGGCUAUUGGACAACGGAACGGCUCUUGGUGAUAACACCUCAAUCCUUUGUCACUUUCAAGUCGUGGAAGAAGUGAUUGAAUACCAUUGGACAACGGAACCGGCUCUUGGCGAUAACACCAAAAUCCUUAGGCGCUGUUAAGCCGUGGAAAAGGAGACUGAAUGCUGUAUUGAAAGAGAAACGGACAAUCACCACAGAGGCGUGAGGGUCCUGCAAGCAAAUAAUAAAAUCUUGCUGGAGCUACUCACCACCUUAGAUAUCCAGGUGGAAGCCGCCCUUUAUGAGUUGAUGGAGGACAGAGAAUAUGACCAGUAAAACAACAAUAGAACCGAAAUUCAUCAAACAUUAAUCAUUAUGUUUAUAAACUCACCUAUUAGGAAAGGUAGAAAAGUGGAAGGUUUCUGUAAUCUUCUAAUCGGAAAGGGCCGUAAUUCUGUGGAAUUGGUGCCUUUUUUGUUUAGAAGAUUACAGUAUAUAAUUAAAAUGAUUUUUGUUGUGAACUUUUGGUUAAGUCAUACUGGUCCUCUUGUCUCCUGUCUGUU